UACGUAGGGGGCAAGCGUUGUCCGGAAUCAUUGGGCGUAAAGAGCGUGUAGGCGGCCCGAUAAGUCCGCUGUGAAAGUCCAGGGCUCAACCCUGGGAUGCCGGUGGAUACUGUCGGGCUCGAGUCCGGAAGAGGCGAGUGGAAUUCCUGGUGUAGCGGUGAAAUGCGCAGAUAUCAGGAAGAACACCAAUGGCGAAGGCAGCUCGCUGGGACGUGACUGACGCUGAGACGCGAAAGCGUGGGGAGCAAACAGG
rnacentral:rRNA from 1 species